GUCACAGCCUACAUUAGCCCAGUCAAGAAUGCAUUCUUUCUAAGUUAGUCAUCCCAUCAAUUUAGGAGAAUGAUAAAUCCCCAAUAGUUUAUAUAAAUGCCAUUAAUGUUAGCUAGAUAGCUAGCGAAAUUGAAACUGUUGGGGGAAAGGUAGCUAGCUAACUCCCACCAUCCUCACUGCAGUGUAGCUAAUGUUAGCUAGGUUUCUAGAAAAUAAAAACUACUAACUACAGCUAUAUUUGCUAGCUAUAUUUUAAAGACUUGUUACUGACUUUUUAACACUUUUUGUCAAACUUCUUCAUUCCACUGCCUGUUUAUUGAUUUAAGAUUAAUUUCUUCCCCCACUCUGCUAUUUUCCUCAGGUUAAAGCACAUUCCUAACACCCAGACAGAUGUAAAGAACUUGGGAACCUCCAAGCCACCAGGAAAAUCAUCUUGUACUUGGAGUUUAUUCACAAGGUUUGUCGUAUGAUUUCCGGGCACCUGGUGGAGAUUAAUACAACAAUACUCCAAGGCAGGCCAUUUCCCUGCAUCCAGGUUGAUGCCUGUGACCAGCAGGAACAUGGAGCACUCCAUGUCAGGGCUACAGACACAGAAUAUUCAAAGGACCUCCAGAGCCUUCAGACCAACUACCUGCGAUCUCUCCAGAGCACAGAGAAGUAAGCUCUGCUGGUGGUAAUAUACUUUAUGCGCACUAUGUAAACCUCCUUCACUAUGGCGGUCUGUGUGAGGUCAUGUAGCAUAUUAUAAACCGGGUGGUUCGAGCCCUGAAUGCUGAUUGGCUGACAUACCACGGGUAU